AUGUAUAAACAAAAACACACUUCCUUGACAAUUUCCUUAACAACAGCUUGGCGAAGCACAAGAAGAAUAGGUGGAGCUCCUCCUCAUCACUCUGUUAUUAUUACAUGUAGGUGGAGCUCCUCCUCACCACUCUGUUAUUAUUACAUGUGGGUGGAGCUCCUCCUCACCACUCUGUUAUUAUUAUUACUACAUGUAGGUGGAGCUCCUCCUCACCACUCUGUUAUUAUUAUUACUACAUGUAGGUGGAGCUCCUCCUCACCACUCUGUUAUUAUUAUUACUACAUGUAGGUGGAGCGCCUCCUCACCACUCUGUUAUUAUUAUUACAUGUAGGUGGAGCUCCUCCUCACCACUUUGUUAUUAUUACAUGUGAGUGGAGCUCCUCCUCACCACUCUGUUAUUAUUACAUGUAGGUGGAGCUCCACCUCACCACUCUGUUAUUAUUACAUGUAGGUGGAGCUCCUCCUCAUCACUCUGUUAUUAUUAUUACUACUACAUGUAGGUGGAGCUCCUCCUCACCACUCUGUUAUUAUUAUUACUACAUGUAGGUGGAGCUCCUCCUCACCACUCUGUUAUUAUUAUUACUACAUGUAGGUGGAGCGCCUCCUCACCACUCUGUUAUUAUUAUUACAUGUAGGUGGAGCUCCUCCUCACCACUUUGUUAUUAUUACAUGUGAGUGGAGCUCCUCCUCAUCACUCUGUUAUUAUUAUUAUUACAUGUAGGUGGAGCUCCUCCUCACCACUCUGUUAUUAUUACAUGUAGGUGGAGCUCCUCCUCACCACUCUGUUAUUAUUAUUACAUGUAGGUGGAGCUCCUCCUCAUCACUCUGUUAUUAUUAUUACUACAUGUAGGUGGAGCUCCUCCUCACCACUCUGUUAUUAUUAUUACUACAUGUAGGUGGAGCUCCUCCUCACCACUCUGUUAUUAUUACAUGUAGGUGGAGCUCCACCUCACCACUCUGUUAUUAUUAUUACAUGUAGGUGGAGCUCCUCCUCACCACUCUGUUAUUAUUAUUACAUAUAGGUGGAGCUCCUCCUCAUCACUCUGGUAUUAUUAUUACAUGUAGGUGGAGCUCCUCCUCAUCACUCUGUUAUUAUUAUUACAUGUAGGUAGAGCUCCUCCUCACCACUCUGUUAUUAUUAUUACAUGUAGGUAGAGCUCCUCCUCACCACUCUGUUAUUAUUACAUGUAGGUGGAGCUCCUCCUCAUCACUCUGGUAUUAUUAUUACAUGUAGGUGGAGCUCCUCCUCACCACUCUGUUAUUAUUAUUACUACAUGUAGGUGGAGCUCCUCCUCACCACUCUGUUAUUAUUAUUACUACAUGUAGGUGGAGCUCCUCCUCACCACUCUGUUAUUAUUAUUACUACAUGUAGGUGGAGCUCCUCCUCAUCACUCUGUUAUUAUUAUUACAUGUAGUUGGAGCUCCUCCUCACCACUCUGUUAUUAUUAUUAUUACAUGUAGGUGGAGCUCCUCCUCACCACUCUUAUUAUUACUACAUGUAGGUGGAGCUCCUCCUCAUCACUCUGUUAUUAUUAUUACUACAUGUAGGUGGAGCUCCUCCUCAUCACUCUGUUAUUAUUAUUACUACAUGUAGGUGGAGCUCCUCCUCACCACUCUGUUAUUAUUAUUACUACAUGUAGGUGGAGCUCCACCUAACCACUCUGUUAUUAUUACAUGUAGACCCUACUUUACUUUACUGGCUUGAUUGUCCCUGUGGGGAAAUGUUGUUGCAGUGUCUUGUACACGUUUAAAGUGGCAUUUAAAUACAAAACAAAUUGACAAUACAACUUUCAUAACAGUUACAUAGCAAUAAAACUUGGCAGUUAAAAGCUAAAUAUCAGCACUUACAAGUUUGAACCCAAAAAACAUACAAAUCUGCAUGGAUGGGAGCUGAAGGGUGGAGGGUUGUCUGAGAGUUGAAACAGAACAGAUGGUACUGAGAACGGAGGAAGCGUUCCAGGUCUCGGAGGGAGCCAGUCAGUCAGAGACAGUCAGAUCCGCAGCCUCAGCAACGCACCUCACUGUCCCCUGGCGUCCAGUUUGCUCCGGCUUUGUUGAUGCUGGUUAGCCACUCCUCUCCACAACCCCACUCUAAGACAUGUCCUGUACACAUGAUAUGUGGUGUUUCCUAACGAUUACAGAUCAUUCAUUUUUUAAUCCCACCUCUCUCUGUAGACCCCCCUCUCUUGAUUUCCGUGGGCCAUAUAUAUUUUUUCAACCGUGCUGUGAUGUCUUACAUAAAAUGAAGUCACUGCUUAAGUUAAUUUAAAAAGCACCGUCCUCAUGGCAGUUUCUUGGGUCUGCAUAACUGCUGUUUAGGUCCUGUGCUUACAUAUUUCAGUCUUUCAGACAUCCACAGCUGCAUUCCUUAAUAUUCUAUUGUUUAUGUCCGUUUAUGGGAAAUGCAUAAUCAAGAUGAACAUAACUAUUUUGCUGGUGAUCAGGAGACACUACACAAGU
ensembl:lncRNA